rnacentral:rRNA from 1 species
GAGUCAUUGGGACUCUAUUAAACCUAAAGGCGCAAUGAAAGUAAAGGUCCGCCUCGCGCAGACCGAGGGAGGAUGGGCCCGCUCCGGUGCCGGCCCCGCACUCCCGGGGCGUCUCGUUCUCAUCGCGAGAAGAGGCGCACCCAGAGCGUACACGCUGGGACCCGAAAGAUGGUGAACUAUGCCUGGUCAGGACGAAGUCAGGGGAAACCCUGAUGGAGGUCCGUAGCGAUUCUGACGUGCAAAUCGAUCGUCGGAACUGGGUAUAGGGGCGAAAGACUAAUCGAACCUUCUAGUAGCUGGUUCCCUCCGAAGUUUCCCUCAGGAUAGCUGGCGCUCGCCUUUGCGAGUCUCAUUCGGUAAAGCGAAUGAUUAGAGGCAUUGGGGUCGAAACGGCCUCAACCUAUUCUCAAACUUUAAAUGGGUGAGAUCUCCGGCUUGCUUAAAGCAUGAAGCCGCGAGAGAUCGGAUCACAGAGUGCCAAGUGGGCCACUUUUGGUAAGCAGAACUGGCGCUGUGGGAUGAACCAAACGCAGAGUUAAAGCGCCCAAAUCGACGCUUAUGGGAUACCAUGAAAGGCGUUGGUAA